rnacentral:rRNA from 1 species
CCUACGGGAGGCAGCAGUGGGGAAUAUUGGGCAAUGGACGCAAGCCUGACCCAGCAACGCCGCGUGAAGGAAGAAGGCUUUCGGGUUGUAAACUUCUUUUCUCAGGGACGAAGAAAGUGACGGUACCUCAGGAAUAAGCCACGGCUAACUACGUGCCAGCAGCCGCGGUAAUACGUAGGUGGCAAGCGUUAUCCGGAUUAAUUGGGUGUAAAGGGGGCGUAGGCGGGAAAGCAAGUCAGAUGUGAAAACUCAGGGCUUAACCCUGGGCCCGCAUUUGAAACUGUUUUUCGUGAGUGCUGUAGAGGAAAGCGGAAUUCCGUGUGUAGCGGUGAAAUGCGUAGAUAUAAGGAGGAACACCAGGGGCGAAGGCGGAUUGCUGGACAGUAACUGACGCUGAGGCGCGAAAGUGUGGGGAUCAAACAGGAUUAGAUACCCGUGUAGUC